AGACCCGCCUGCCGGAGAGAGGGUAGCACCAACGAGAGGGGAGGGGGGGGGGAAACGAAGAGCAUCGAGGGAGUAGCUAUGUUUUUAAGGCAGAACGUUGCGAAACUGGCCAGUUAACAAUCUUUUUUAUUCCAACGGGGAGCAUUUCCCCCUCCCGCUCAAGCAGCUGGGGAGACAACAAACACACGGACCAGGGAACCGGUGGAUAACGUAACCAGUUCAAAGUGGACUAUAUUUUCGAAAUGCGAUAUGGCUUAUGAAAAUUGUUUCCUUAGUCUACCUUGCUAGCUAGGUACACUACAGUAGCAAUGCUUAUCCAUUAACUAUUGCUGUUGAUACACAGUGAGAUUUUAACGCGAGGUCUGUAACGGUUUGGUGGAUUACGGAUGGUACUGUACCUACUCACUAAAGUCUGUUUAAGGUAGUAUUGAGAAGGGAACUGCGAAUGUGGCCGUAGCAGUUCAGUUUCGAAGAUUCGUGCUUUCGGAAAGACUUCUACAAUGGAAUAAACCCGCAGUUAGUUACUUUUUAUUUGGACUCUUUGCAGAACAUCUGACGCGCUGUCACCACAAGCCCCUCAGUGGGCGCACAGUCCUGUCACCAACGUGGAUACCAGCGGGGCUAACAAGCUAGCUAGCUAUCUAGCUCUCACUGGAAUUUUGAACACCACAAAACUCAACUGCCGCUGCAUGUGUAUAGCUUCAAAUGAUCCCGUAAUUUCUUAGCAUCACCCGUCGUCCAGAAUCGAGGACGUUUCGCCAUCCAAAGCUGACUGCAAUUGAGAUGGAGAGCGAGAAGAAAAGGAGGAAGUACUCCACCAGCAGUAAUGACUCGGACACGACCGACAGUCAAGUCACGACAUGGUCCAGGUUGUCCAAGACCACUGGAACCAAGAGCACCUGGGUCCCACAGGAACACAAGAAACCGUCUGAGGUGAGUCGUUAGUAACACUUUGCGCGCCUCCUUUAUAUGUCCUGACUGCAACACGCAACAUCAAUCUUUUUAGUUCAAUUUUUUUAUAUCUUUUUUUAAAAUUAUUAUUAAAUAAAUAAAGGCAGCAGAAAGAAGCAGAUGUUAAAAUCCUUAUAGUUCUUAAAAAAAAAAGAAACUCAUUGAAAAUACAACAAAAAGUAGCAGAUGUUAUAACACUUACUUCCACAAAAUAAAAAAAAUACAAUCCAUGGUAGCAGAUGUAAUCCACAGUGACAUUCUGUUACGACUUCAUACAUCGUCACGACAACCCUUGCAGGAGAAGGGAGCCCCUAAUCUGGCGGGUCACGUCGACUGUGAGCGGCCGACACAUUUCAGCAGAGCCGUACUCUGACCUCUGACCUCCGACCCCUGCCGAGGCGUGCCGGCGUACGGAAUCUCUGCGCACGACGGGCCGACCUCAGCCCGCCGGACGCCUCCGUCUGUAAUUACACGCUUCCCUUGGGCCGCGGUGAGCCCUGGGUCAGCCAGUCAGCCAGCCAGCCAGCCAGUCAGUCAGUCAGUUUCUCUCCUAUGGAUGAAGGAAUGUUUGUCUCAAGUUGCGUUUCCUAUAACGUUUCGGAAAGAGAAAGUCAAGGACACUCGUAAACAGCAAUUUGUUGGUUUUCUUGGGGAAGGUAAACCCGUCUUGUCAGAGUCCUUUAGUGGCGGCUUCCCCAGAGGACUCGCUGACAGCUGUCAACAUCGCUGUCAUCCACAAGGACACGCGGCUCCGAGUACCUGAGCAUGACGAGAACUAGGAUCUACACGCUCUUUUGUUUUUAUCGCACUCUCUUUUCUUGUUGACUUUUCGCAUCUUCAGGGGGCAGAUUUGGUCCUUUUACCGUUUCGGGUAAAUACCUGCAGGUUUUUAAAUGUAUCCUGUCGGCAGUUUUCCCCCCCAGUGACGUUAAAUAAUCACGGACCCACAGCACUGAAAUAUUGAGUCGGUGACUGAGGCAAUACUCCGAUCCACGUAUGUGUUUUAUUCAUCUAGCUGCUUGAAGGAUCUGAUUCUUUCAUGGCAGGCGCUGGUUUUUUUUCCAGGACCGUUCCUCGACAUGAAAACAGUGAGUUAUGAGGGAAUUAUUGA